AGGAGUUAAUUAAAUUAUAAUAUUUCCUUGUCAAGGCAAAAUUGCAAGUUGAACCCUUGUACCCCUCUA
rnacentral:tRNA from 1 species